rnacentral:rRNA from 1 species
CUAAUACAUGCAAGUCGAGCGGACCGACGGGAGCUUGCUCCCUUAGGUCAGCGGCGGACGGGUGAGUAACACGUGGGUAACCUGCCUGUAAGACUGGGAUAACUCCGGGAAACCGGGGCUAAUACCGGAUGCUUGAUUGAACCGCAUGGUUCAAUCAUAAAAGGUGGCUUUUAGCUACCACUUGCAGAUGGACCCGCGGCGCAUUAGCUAGUUGGUGAGGUAACGGCUCACCAAGGCGACGAUGCGUAGCCGACCUGAGAGGGUGAUCGGCCACACUGGGACUGAGACACGGCCCAGACUCCUACGGGAGGCAGCAGUAGGGAAUCUUCCGCAAUGGACGAAAGUCUGACGGAGCAACGCCGCGUGAGUGAUGAAGGUUUUCGGAUCGUAAAACUCUGUUGUUAGGGAAGAACAAGUACCGUUCGAAUAGGGCGGUACCUUGACGGUACCUAACCAGAAAGCCACGGCUAACUACGUGCCAGCAGCCGCGGUAAUACGUAGGUGGCAAGCGUUGUCGGGAAUUAUUGGGCGUAAAGCGCGCGCAGGCGGUUUCUUAAGUCUGAUGUGAAAGCCCCCGGCUCAACCGGGGAGGGUCAUUGGAAACUGGGGAACUUGAGUGCAGAAGAGGAGAGUGGAAUUCCACGUGUAGCGGUGAAAUGCGUAGAGAUGUGGAGGAACACCAGUGGCGAAGGCGACUCUCUGGUUCUGUAACUGACGCUGAGGCGCG